GCCGAUUAUUACUUAAACGCGCGCGACGAUAGUCUUUUAUUUUUCUUUUUUUGUAUUUUUUCUUGUUCAGUGUUCGUUUUCGGUAUAUUAGAGUCAAAGUGCUCAAGAGGAUAAGUCCUCUCCUGGAGAUCAAGAUCAUUUUUUACAAUCUCUCCUUCCCCUAAUCUUUUAAGGAUCUUAUGAUGCUUCAAAAGCUAAAAAUGAAAUUUUUCACGGCAUUUACUUCACCAUGGGUAUCUACUUGAUGUGAGUCUUCACGAUAACUUUCCCUGGUCUAAUGUG